rnacentral:rRNA from 1 species
UACGAAGGGGACUAGCGUUGUUCGGAAUCACUGGGCGUAAAGCGCACGUAGGCGGAUUUGUAAGUCAGGGGUGAAAUCCCGGGGCUCAACCUCGGAACUGCCUUUGAUACUGCGAAUCUUGAGUCCGAUAGAGGUGGGUGGAAUUCCUAGUGUAGAGGUGAAAUUCGUAGAUAUUAGGAAGAACACCAGUGGCGAAGGCGGCCCACUGGAUCGGUACUGACGCUGAGGUGCGAAAGCGUGGGGAGCAAACGG